rnacentral:rRNA from 1 species
GACGAACGCUGGCGGCGUGCUUAACACAUGCAAGUCGAACGGAAAGGCCCUGCUUUUGUGGGGUGCUCGAGUGGCGAACGGGUGAGUAACACGUGAGUAACCUGCCCUUGACUUUGGGAUAACUUCAGGAAACUGGGGCUAAUACCGGAUAGGAGCUCCUGCUGCAUGGUGGGGGUUGGAAAGUUUCGGCGGUUGGGGAUGGACUCGCGGCUUAUCAGCUUGUUUGUGGGGUAGUGGCUUACCAAGGCUUUGACGGGUAGCCGGCCUGAGAGGGUGAACGGCCCCAUUGGGACUGAGAUACGGCCCAGACUCCUACGGGAGGCAGCAGUGGGGAAUAUUGCACAAUGGGCGGAAGCCUGAUGCAGCAACGCCGCGUGCGGGAUGACGGCCUUCGGGUUGUAAACCGCUUUCGCCUGUGACGAAGCGUGAGUGACGGUAAUGAGUAAAGAAGCACCGGCUAACUACGUG